GCUAAGCUUGGCAGCACACGCCUGUAGUCCCAGCCACUUUGGAGGCUGAGGCAGGAGGAUCGCAAGUUUGAGGGCAGCCUCAGCAACUUAGCGAGGCCCUGCCUCAA
rnacentral:sRNA from 1 species